rnacentral:rRNA from 1 species
UACGGAGGGGGCGAGCGUUAUUCGGAAUUAUUGGGCGUAAAGGGCGCGUAGGCGGCUAGACAAGUCAAAGGUGAAAUCCCUCGGCUCAACUGAGGAACUGCCUUUGAAACUGUCUGGCUUGAGGCCGGGGAGGGGGUAGCGGAAUUCCCAGUGUAGCGGUGAAAUGCGUAGAUAUUGGGAGGAACACCAGUGGCGAAGGCGGCUACCUGGACCGGUUCUGACGCUGAUGCGCGAAAGCGUGGGUAGCAAACAGG